CCCUUAGAUGUCCUGGGCCGCACGCGCGCUACACUGAGUGUCUGAGAUACGAGUCUGCCUGGUCCGGCAAGGUCUAGGUAAUCGCUAAAAGACACAUCAUGCUUGGGAUAGAUUAUUGCAAAUAUUAAUCUUGAACGAGGAAUUCCUAGUAAGCGCAAGUCAACAGCUUGCGUUGAGUACGUCCCUGCCCUUUGUACACACCGCCCGUCGCUACUACUGAUUGGAUGUUUAAGCGAGGUUCUCGAACUGCUAGCGACUUAGCUUCGGUGAGGUCGCAGUGUGGGAAGUGAACCUAGCUUUGGUGUCUAGAGGAAGUAAAAGUCGUAACA
rnacentral:rRNA from 1 species